UUCCCCAAUGCAGGGAUGGAAGACACAAGAUUCCGCCCUAGACUUGAAAUGGGCCCCUGGCUCUUCUACGUGGCCCUGUGUCUCCUGGCAGCAGGACACAUGGAUGCUGGAAUUACCCAGAACCCAAGAUACAAGGUCGCAGAGACAGGAAAGCAGGUGACACUAGAAUGUCAUCAGACUAAUAAGCAUGACUAUAUGUACUGGUACCGACAAGAUCUGGGCCAUGGGCUGAGGCUGAUCCAUUACUCAUAUGAUGUUAAAAUCACUGACAAAGGAGAAGUCCCCGAUGGCUACAACGUCUCCAGACCAAGCACAGAGAAUUUUUCCCUCACUCUGGAGUCUGCCACCCGCUCCCAGACAUCUGUGUACUUCUGUGCCAGCAGUGAUCCACAGUGCUGCUCAGCUGUCUCCUCUCUGCACAUAAAGGGCAAUGAUGCUGUAGUGGAUGAUUCACAGUGGCACAAGGAUAGAUUUUCUGCAGAGAGACCCAAAGGAGCAAACUCCACACUUAGGAGCCCGCAGGAGGGGCUGGGGGACUCGUCCAUGUACCUCUGCACCAGCAGCAGGCAUAGUGCUGACGAGAUGAUUCCUGUGCACAGAACUGACGAGUCUCUUCUCUCUACUCAGCUGACAUGA